AUACGGAGGACGCGAGCGUUAUCCGGAUUCAUUGGGUUUAAAGGGUGCGCAGGCGGCCGUGCAAGUCAGCGGUGAAAGCCCGGGGCUCAACCCCGGAAGUGCCGUUGAUACUGCAUGGUUGGAAUGCGGUCGAGGCGGGCGGAACGUGGCGUGUAGCGGGGAAAUGCGUAGAGAUGCCACAGAACGCCGAGAGCGGAGGAAGCUCGCCAGGCCUGCAUUGACGCUCGGGCACGAAAGCGUGGGGAUCGAACAGGAUUAGAUACCCUGGUAGUCCACGCCGUAAACGAUGGGCGCUCGUCGUCGGCGGCAGACAGUCGGCGGCCAAGCGAAAGCGAUAAGCGCCCCACCUGGGGAGUACGGUCGCAAGGCUGAAACUCAAAUGAAUUGACGGGG
rnacentral:rRNA from 1 species